rnacentral:sRNA from 1 species
UUUCUCUCGCCAGGCGUCCUCGUGGAAGUGACAUCGUCUUUAAACCCUGCGUGGCAAUCCCUGACGCACCGCCGUGAUGCCCAGGGAAGACAGGGCGACCUGGAAGUCCAACUACUUCCUUAAGAUCAUCGUAAGUGCAGGCAACUAUUGGAUGAUUAUCCGAAAUGUUUCAUCGUGGGAGCAGACAAUGUGGGCUCCAAGCAGAUGCAGCAGAUCCGCAUGUCCCUUCGCGGGAAGGCCGUGGUGCUGAUGGGCAAGAACACCAUGAUGCGCAAGGCCAUCCGAGGGCACCUGGAAAACAACCCAGCUCUGGAGAAGUCAGUUCCCCUGGCAGUCCUUUCUCCCCAGUGCCCGUCUCCCUCUUCCUGGAGAAUGGUGCUGAAAGGUGAUUGUCUCCCAUAAACUUGUUUGCAGACUGCUGCCUCAUAUCCGGGGGAAUGUGGGCUUUGUGUUCACCAAGGAGGACCUCACUGAGAUCAGGGACAUGUUGCUGGCCAAUAAGGUGCCAGCUGCUGCCCGUGCUGGUGCCAUUGCCCCAUGUGAAGUCACUGUGCCAGCCCAGAACACUGGUCUCGGGCCCGAGAAGACCUCCUUUUUCCAGGCUUUAGGUAUCACCACUAAAAUCUCCAGGGGCACCAUUGAAA